rnacentral:lncRNA from 10 species
CUCUUUUUGACCUUCAGGCACCCUCUUGGGUCUUUUACAAGUGAACUUUCUUUCCUGUUUUAAAGCCUUUUAAAUAAACUUCCACUCCUGUGCUGAAACUUGCCUUAGUCUUUUUUUCUGCUUUAUGCCCCUCAGUCGAAUUCUUUCAUCUGAGGAGGCAAGAAUUGAAGUUGCUGCAGACGCCUGUGGAUUCACCACAAGUACAUUGGAGUAACCACUGGGAACAACAGGUUGCCUUAGAAGCUUUGCAGGUUGUUUUGUUUUUUUGUUUGUUUGUUUUUUUGAGACGGGGUCUCACUUUGUCGCCCAGGUUUGUUGCCCAGGCUGGAGUGCAGUGGCGCAAUCUCGGCUCUCCGCAACCUCUGCCUCCCGGGCUCAAGUGAUCCUCCCACCUCGGCUUCCCGAGUACCUGGGACUACAGGCAUGCACCACCACACCCGGCUAAUUUUAAUUUUUAUUUUGUAUUUUUAGUAGAGUUGGGGUUUCACCAUGUUCCCAGCUGGUCUUGAACUCUUGAGGUGAAGCAAUCCGCCCACCUCAGCCUCCCAAAGUGCUGAGAUUACAGACGUGAGCCAUCGCGCCUAGCCUUGCAAGUUGUUUUUUGUUGAACAGAAGAAGCUAUUCAAAAAUGUCCAGGACUCUGUUAUUUAUUCAGCAAGCUUACAAAGCCAUCUUUGAUUGACUGAUUCUUUGACAAUGACUAUCUGGAUGACACAGGAAGGAUGCAAUUCUGGCCUUGGAGAGAAAACUUGCAAGGAAAGGAACAUGUUUGAAUUUCAGAUGUGUUCCUCAAUGAAUCACACUUGUUACAUUUACUGACUCUCAUGGUGGUGGAGAUGGAUUUUUUCCUAGUGUGCCUGUGUGUGGCUUUCCACCCCGAAGACUGGAAAAUCUCUUUUCUAACCAUGGGAGAAAAACUGAAGCAGAAACAGCAAGAAAUACAGGAUCUUCAGGGAAUGUUUCAGGUGGAGGAAGGGGCUCUUGGUCAAUGAGCCUGAAGACUGCAUGGCAACCUUUGCCAGCUUUUGGCCUGAAAACUCAACUUCUUCAUUUGAGAUAAUUCCUGUUUUAUAUACUUUCAUUUGAGAUAUUCCUGGUGUAUCAACUGAAACAAAAUCUAUGAAAUAUCAGAUUCACAAAAAUACAUUUUGAAUAUUGAACGUGGAUAGAUGUAUUUAAAUCUUUCCUAUUUUUUGCACUUUCAUAAUAUAUAUCAUUCUUUAUUUUUCUACUAAUAAUGAUGAAUCUACAGUAUCUCAGGGCCUUAUUUUCAAUAUCUUAACUGGAUUUUUAAUAAAAGUCUUACUGAAUAGGUAACACUUGUUUCCAAAAACUAUGCUCACCUGUCAAUGAUUCAGAAUUCGUCUCUGUCAUCCCUCUGCUACUUAGCAUUCAGUGCCCUCUACUGCCCUCCCCGACUCCACCAAAAUUCUCUCAGGCCCCAACAGUGGCAUGGAUUCUGCUCUCGAUGCUUUCUUCCACUUUCCUGUCAAAAUGCAUUUAAAUCCCAUUCGCCAUGAGUAUUUUUAUGAGCUGCUUCUCACUAGAGUGAUUACGACUGUCCUUAAAUGUGGCUUAAUGUUUGCCCUCUGAAAGAAUUUGAAUUUUAACAGAGAACUUCUGAAUACGCAAAACCUUCACCCCAAAUAAUCAAUCUUUAAGGGAUUUCGGGCGCCAACUAGAAAAGUAAUAAGGGCACAGACUGAUCUGUUUGUAUCUGCUAAUAGAAACACGGAUUUUUGUCUAUUAAAAAGUGAUAGAAAUGUCUAUGAUUAAUGUUUUCUUUCCUAUGCCACAUCAUGCGGUGCUUGCACAUGGUUUUAUGCUUGACUUCCCAUUGCUAAGGAUAAAGAAUCAAAUUAUAUUAGAGCUUGUUUUUGGAAACCCAAGGGGUACAUGUAGUUAAUUAGAGAUAUGCCCU